UACCCUGAAAUGUCCAGUCUGUAC
rnacentral:piRNA from 1 species